rnacentral:rRNA from 1 species
GAGUUUGAUCUUGGCUCAGAUUGAACGCUGGCGGCAUGCCUUACACAUGCAAGUCGAACGGCAGCGCGGGGCAACCUGGCGGCGAGUGGCGAACGGGUGAGUAAUAUAUCGGAACGUACCCUGGAGUGGGGGAUAACGUAGCGAAAGUUACGCUAAUACCGCAUACGAUCUAAGGAUGAAAGUGGGGGCUUCGCAAGAACCUCAUGCUCCUGGAGCGGCCGAUAUCUGAUUAGCUAGUUGGUGGGGUAAAGGCCCACCAAGGCUUCGAUCAGUAGCUGGUCUGAGGGGACGACCAGCCACACUGGAACUGAGACACGGUCCAGACUCCUACGGGAGGCAGCAGUGGGGGAAUUUUGGACAAUGGGCGCAAGCCUGAUCCAGCAAUGCCGCGUGAGUGAAGAAGGCC